rnacentral:lncRNA from 1 species
UGUGUUGCAUCUUUAGGACGUGUGUAUGCGCACACAUGCAUGUGUUUCUAAGAGGAGGUGCCAUGGCUGUUGAGUGAUGCUGAGGGGCCAGCUGGGCCGCAUUCAUUGGUCAGUCUUCUUAUAAAUCCAUGUUGAGAUCCUUAAACUUCUUGACCCCCUUUGCCAACUGGUGUUUUAUCCUGGUGUCUAUUUCUGCCCAGGCUCAGAGAGGAUAUGACUCUCAAUUAUUUCCUGCUCCAGAAAUCUCCUUAAGUCAGAAUGAAAGCUUCAUUACUUUAAGAUCUGAACUACUGAGCUUUAAUGUAAAUUAUCACAUCUCAUCAAUCCUGUUCUUUUGUUAAAGUGGGUCUAGAUUUCGUUCUUUCGAGAAUGUAAUCACCAGUAAUGAAACACUGAACACCUACUCUCAGUGUAUCCAUAUCCUGAUGUUUUCAGGAUGUUGUCAUACAGUGCUUAGGUGCCAUAUGUCCUCCUCUUCUUUGUACAGUCAGCCUGGCAUUGUGGGGAGGACCAGCUGAGAGUUAGAUCAUGACCCAUCUCAUACACUACACUGGACCCACUGACCCAACUGCAUUCUCUCUCCCUCUCUCUCUCUCUCUCUCUCUCUCUCUCUCUCUCUCUCUCUUCUUUCUCCUCUUCCUCCUCCUCCUUCCCCCUCCUCCUCCUCCUCCUUCUUCCUCCUCUUCUUCCUCCUUCUCCUUCUCCUCCUCCUCCUCCUCUUCCUCCUCCUCCUCUUCCUCCUCCUCCUCCUCCUCCUCCUCCUCCUCCUCCACCUCCUUCUUCUUCUUCUUCUUCUGUCCCAUACUCAUUUGUCUGGCUGUGCUGCUAGCUUCCUGCAGUAGCUCAUGCCCUGGAUGUUGCUGGGUGAGGCUGCCUCAGGACUGAGAAUAAAAAGGGAGGCAGGUUGGUAAUGGAGGCAUGUUUAACUUCCUUUAUGGUAAAAUUAAGUUGCCGCAAGAAGACUUAAAAUGAGUGUUGCUUCACCCAUCUCCUCUUCUCUCAAUUUCACUGUGGCUGACAUGGUUGGUGAUAAGCUAUUGGCUUCCAUCCUCUCAGCACCCCAGAGUGCUAUUCCUACCUGUAGCAGGGUGAGCACCUCUCCAUAUAGUGUAAGGCCUUGCUAAUGGCUAAAUGUUUCCAUGUUUGGUAAAGCAGGGACAUAAGGGAAUAGUCAGUCAUCCACAUUGGUGAGUUCAGCAUCUUAAGAUUGCAUCACUGCAGAUGGAACCCAUUUUUAAAAAAUGUGUAUUUGUGCUGAAUGUUUAUAGAAUGUUUCCUUGUCCAUAUUUCUGAAACAGUACAACAGCUAGUACAUGGCAUAUGUAUUAUGCUAGGUAAUAUUAAUAAUCCAGAGAUGAUUUAGAACACUCUAGAGGAUUUUAAGGGUUAUGGACAAAAUAUGUAAAAAUCCAUUUGUGUAAGGCAUUUGAGAGUUAUUGUACUCUCUGGUGGUCCUGUAACUAAUCCCCUAGGGACACUGAGAGACAACAAAACUGAAACAUUUAUUAAAUUGUUUCCAGAAUGUUUUGCAAUGAAACUUAGGAGCAUAUAUAUAUAUAUAUAUACAUAUAUAUAUAUAUAUAUAUCUUUGAGGGUUUUGUUGUUGCUUGGUUGUCUUUUUUUUAAUUUUUUUUUAAGGAAAUGUGAGCCAGAGCUAAUUUUCAAAAUGCUAUAAGGGGUGAAAAUGCAAAUUAAUAUUAUAGCAUCACCACCUUGGAGAGAUGGAUCCUUUUUGUCUAUGUUACCCAUUCCCAUAUAAUUAAUUCUACACCUGGUUUUAAUCACUGACUGUGAUUUUCAUACAACACAGCUGUAUACAGCCACUUCCGAACUCUGGCUCAUGAGAAGUUUUUCAUUAAACACAAUGGUCUAUAACAAAAAUGAAAUCAACUUCACAAGACAGCAAGAAACAAAGGGAGCUAGUUUUAGUUUCUAUUGGAAAACUAACACCAGACCAAAGUGAUAGGGUAUGGCUGUGAUUAUCCAGUCAUGCCCUCCCCAAAGAUUCACUAGUGAGAGCCAGUGCCGGGGGACCACUUAAAAAUCCCGAGGAGAACAAAAAGAUGCCUUUAUUUUCUGGGUUUUUUUUUUCCAAAAAUAGUUUGUGAAACAGAACCCACUUUUCUGACUUGGCAGCAGAUGUGUAUAUAUAGCUUUUUUAUAGGAUGUUGCUCAUUGGGUUGUGUGGAGACAGAAACCCUGGGUUAAGCCUUACUGUGUAUUUCUGCUGCUGCUCUGAGAUGUGGUGAUGUAUGUUCAAGUGAUUCCAGAGAACUACUUCAGGGCAGAGAGUCAUGUGGACUUGACAUGAAGAACCCUGUGAGAUGGUCUUCCCAAUUCUUAUGUCCAACAAGGGGCUGAAAACCCCUUUACUCUCAGGGGGCACCUUCUUCAUACUGCAGUUAGCUACCAGACCAAGACAAGUGUGGAGGACGCCAUAGAGUGGCAGAGAGAGGACUCGGUUUGGCUCUUGGGAACAUUGUGGUUCCUUGGGUUUAUCUGGGGAAGGGUCUCAGAUGGAUUUGGUGACAAUUUGUGUAGCUCUGUGUGUUUCCUUUUUCCAUUGCUGCAACAAAACAUAAUC